rnacentral:misc_RNA from 1 species
CCAGAUGCUCCUUAUGAUGAUGAUCAGAUGAAGGAUGUUUUUCAGCUGAUCGUGUCAUCAUUUGAAAAUCUAGCUGACAAGUCUAGUCGGUCAUAUGAUAAAACGACUUCAAUUCUCGAAACUGUUGCAAAAAUUAGGUCAUGUGUGGUGAUGUUGGAUCUUGAAUGUGAUGCUCUGAUAAUUGAGAUGUUCCAGCAUUUCCUUAGUGCUAUACGGGAUUAUCACCCAGAGAAUAUUUUUUCAUCCAUGGAGACCAUAAUGACUCUUGUCUUAGAAGAAAGUGAAGAUAUCUCUCUGGAUCUACUUUCUCCUCUUUUAGCUAGUGUGAAAAGGGGCAACGAGGAAGUUCUACCUGUUGCACGUAAGUUGGGAGAGAAAGUACUUGAAAAUUGUGCUGUCAAGGUUAAGCCCUACUUGCAACAUGCUGUGAAAUCUUUGGGUAUUUCUUUAGAUGAUUACAGUGAAAUAGUUGCCUCUAUAUGCCAAGAGACAUCUGUUACUGUUGAGCAAAAUGAUGCCCAUACUGCUGAUGAAAAUAAAGUUGAAGAAAGCAAACCGGCUGGAGAAUCAUUGGAUGAGGCUGGGCAGGCUGAUAAAGAGAUAACAGCUGAAGCUUGUUCUCCUAAACAAGCUGAUCCUAUAAAUGACCAAUCUCCUAAAUCAGUUGUGAGCAAUGGUGUUGCACAGACGGGUGAAGAUGACUCCUUGGCAGAUUCAGGUUCCUUAAAGAAGCAGGAUGAUGAUAAAGAUGCUGAUCAGUUGAAAAGCAUUGACAUGUCGAGAAAUGUUGGAAUUGAUAUUUUGGAUACUGAGAAGGCAGUUAAUGAGGAAAGCAAGCCCGAACAGGAAACCAAAAACAAAGGUGGGAAACCUAAUUCAUCAGUAAAGUUGGCAGAACCAUCUGAGAGUUCUCAUAUUGGUGCUGAAAAGGAUGCUGACAAACUACUGGAUGGUAGAACUCACAGCAAGGAUGUUCCUGGUUCUCCUCGUGAGCAAGCGUCUGUUGAGGCAGCUGUGUCUUCUGAAAAUAAAAAAGAGGCUGGAAGUAGUCAGCCUUCCUCUCCUAAGGCUCUAGAGGGUGAGUCUAUGACUGUUGCUUCUCCAUCUGGAAGUGAAAACCUUCUUGAUGAAAGUCUUUCCAAGAAGGCUGGGCGAUCAAAGAAGAAAGAGAGUUUGACCAAAGAUUCUGAACUAUCCGCUGAUGAUGUUUCCAGAAAGGCAACUGAAGGAACCAGUGACUCAGAAGCAAAACCAAAUAAGCGAUCUGCAAGAAAGGCACCUGCUAGGGUUUCCAAUGAGGAAAAGGCACCAAUGGUGACAGAUGCUUCCAAGAAGGAAAGCAGCACUACAAAUGAAUCAGAAGCAAAACCACUGAAGCUGUCAUUAAAGAAGGUGGAUGCAAGCAGUAACAAUGAUGAUGAAUCCUCUUUAAAUCAAACUGGGGAUAAGAAACAUCGCAGCCGUGGAAAAUCUAUUUCAGAAAAAAAUGUGACCAAAAGUUCAGCUAAAGAUGAUGACAAGGAAAAGGUCUCUUCACCAAAGUCAGCUGCAAAAUUAGCAAAAGAUGAGCAUAAAUUGGAGGAGACUCCCAAGGUUGACAGCAAGAGGAAGCGUUCCUCAGGCAAUGAAAAGGCUUCUGGCACUAGAGAAUAUGAUGCUAGUCUGGUUGAUUUGAGGGUUAAAGUUUGGUGNNNNNNNNNAAAGAUCGCACAUUUUAUGAGGGGGUGAUACGAUCUUAUGAUCCUGUUAAAAAGAAGCAUGAGGUUGCCUAUGAUGAUGGGGAUACAGAAAUAUUAAAUCUUAAGAGGGAAAAGUGGGAAAUUAUUGAAGAUGAGUCUGCACCAGAUGAGGGAGAAUCAACUGAUCGCCAAAGUCCAGAUGUUCCAUCUGAAGUGCCACCGAAGAAGAAGGUGAAAACAAAUACUGAUCAGUCUUCUAAGCAAGGAAAGGUGGAUGAUGCUUCUCCAUUGAGGGGUGCGGGAGGUUCCUCCAGCAAAUCCAAGAGCGCAGCAACAAAAUCUGGACGAAAAUCAAAGGAAGUAGGUAAAACAGAUGGCAAAUCAACAGAUGAUUCAAAAACUGCUAAAAAAGCAGAGGAUGAUAAGGUUGGAAAAACUAAGGAUAGUACCAAUAAAAGUGGAAGUAAAUCUGCUGAUGUUA